AGACUGUCAAGGUCAUUAUAGGCUUCGAAAGUUGCCAUAGACCAUGACAGUAUUACCAACAGGAAACGCAUGGCAUAGACUAUUGUCAUACCGAACUCCUUGGUGAUUAU
rnacentral:sRNA from 12 species